GACGAACGCUGGCGGCGUGCCUAAUACAUGCAAGUAGAACGCACAGUUUAUACCGUAGCUUGCUACACCAUAGACUGUGAGUUGCGAACGGGUGAGUAACGCGUAGGUAACCUGCCUGGUAGCGGGGGAUAACUAUUGUAAACGAUAGCUAAUACCGCAUAAUAUUAAUUAUUGCAUGAUAAUUAAUUGAAAGUUUCAAUUGCACCACUACCAGCUGGACCUGCGUUGUAUUAGCUAGUAGGUGAGGUAACGGCUCACCUAGGCGAAGAUACAUAGCCGACCUGAGAGGGUGAUCGGCAAAAAUGGGAAUGAGACACGGCCCAGAAGCAUACGGGAGGCAGCAGUAGGGAAUGUUCGGCAAUGGACGAAAGUCUGACCGAGCAACGCCGCGGGAGUGAAGAAGGGUGUCGGAUCGUAAAGCUCUGUUGUAAGAGAAGAAAGGGUGUGAGAGUGGAAAGUUCACACUGUGACGGUAUCUUACCAGAAAGGGACGGCUAACUACGUG
rnacentral:rRNA from 1 species